rnacentral:lncRNA from 1 species
AGUGGAACUAUACUUAAUCUUUUAAAUUAAGAAAGUGAAUAUUUUAUCAUGUUUCAUGCAUCAUGACUAUAAUAUAGGAUGUUUGCAUUAGAAUCACGAAUAUGCUACAUUGCAUUAUUAUAUUGUGGUUGAUGAGGAGGGACAUUGCACGACUCACUAGUCCUGUGUACGAAGUCCUGUGGUGCCCAUAAUAGGGCCGGGCAAUAGCUCCGAUUUACGAAGUCCUGUGGUGCCCAUAAUAGGGCCGGGCAAUACGAAGUCCUGUGGUGCCCAUAAUAGGGCCGGGCAUGGAGCUGAGGGAUUUUUGGGUCGGUCCUUCCAUGAUGUGAAAUGUUUGUGCAAUGAUGCAUUCCAUUAUAGCCUGUUUUAAAUAUUUUUUUUAUAUAGUUCUACUCACUGGGCAUCUAGCUCACCCCUCUCCCCUAACCCCAGGUUUGCAGGUACGGGAUUGAUAGAGAAGAAAAGAAGAGAAAAGUCAUAUGUAUGUAAUAGCUAGAGUAUGUGGACAUGACAAAUGAUAAGAAUGUAAUGUAAAGUUUUGAACAGUUAUGUUUAUGUAAUUAUGUUAUUGAGGAUAGAGUUGUGCUUGACCAUAGUAUAUGUUAAUCCCUUGGUAUGUAC